rnacentral:rRNA from 1 species
ACUCCUACGGGAGGCAGCAGUAGGGAAUCUUCCACAAUGGGCGCAAGCCUGAUGGAGCAACACCGCGUGAGUGAAGAAGGGUUUCGGCUCGUAAAGCUCUGUUGUUAAAGAAGAACACGUAUGAGAGUAACUGUUCAUACGUUGACGGUAUUUAACCAGAAAGUCACGGCUAACUACGUGCCAGCAGCCGCGGUAAUACGUAGGUGGCAAGCGUUAUCCGGAUUUAUUGGGCGUAAAGAGAGUGCAGGCGGUUUUCUAAGUCUGAUGUGAAAGCCUUCGGCUUAACCGGAGAAGUGCAUCGGAAACUGGAUAACUUGAGUGCAGAAGAGGGUAGUGGAACUCCAUGUGUAGCGGUGGAAUGCGUAGAUAUGUGGAAGAACACCAGUGGCGAAGGCGGCUACCUGGUCUGCAACUGACGCUGAGACUCGAAAGCAUGGGUAGCGAACAGGAUUAGAUACCCUGGUAGGAUAGCG